AUUUGAUGUUGUCUCUGUAAAGUAGUAUUUAAUGACUUUCGAGAAUUAAUAAAUACUCGCAUAUUUCUGUUGAGAUAUUUAGGACCUCGAAAACGACGUUCAACGAUCAGGAUAUAAUAUUAUCGAUCAACGUACACAAUUUUCAACAAGAAAAUUAUUAAUUCCACUUGGACAAUUGGGACUAAACAAGAACAGGGGUGUUAAACUAAUCGAUGCUAAAAGGUGUGAUGCAACAUCAGUGCAAUUUAAAAAAUGCUAGAGAACGUUUAUCAUCGACAUGUCUCUAUAUAUGCACUACAAAUUCAAUUAGUUUCGCUCAAUAGAUGGUAAUAAUAGAGCUCAGCAAAUAUGAUCGCAUAUGGAAAUGUAUGCAUAACGUGCACGAAACUAAACUUUCAGGUGUGUCACGUUUCUAAUGGAAUAAAAUAUACGUCAAUAAUCAUACAGUGUAAUGGUACGUGGGUAACAAGCGACCGAACAACGAAGCAGUCUAGUUAGGGGUAUACUCUAGCUACAGCUCUCACUUUGAAUGCACCAUUGAUUUGUAGCAUUAUUAUAGUACUACUGCCAAAAAAUCAAUAAACUUUCCGGCCAACUGAAAUGAAAAGGUAAGAAUUUAAAAAAAAAGAAAAAAAUUAAAGUCAAUAAGUUCGAUAACGCUGCGGUUUCAGGAACGGCCAAAGUCUUAGCGCAUCGCAAAAUCUCGUCUAAAGCGGAAAGAAAGGAGGGACGCGUCUCGAAGUGAAAGGCACAGACGAGGGAGAAAAAAGACAUCAAGCGGCAUGACACGAUGAAUAAUAGAAGAAACAAACGGAAAGACGAUCGACGUGAGAAAAGAUAUUAAAACGUAUCUCUGAAAAGUGCGAUCAAAAAGCGUUCCGCGCUUUUCUCGGAUCGAGCACGGCAAGGUCCGACGUCCAAGUACCGCGGUCUCACAUCCCGGAUUAUCGUCCAUCGUCACGCAUUUUCUUUCUCAUCUCUCGCACUUCAACGUUUUCAUUCUGUCGUUGCCUUUCUCGUGGCUGUUCGUUGCUACGAAAACUUGCAGAGUUUCUAUGUUGUCGGACGUUGCCAGGAAAGACUGGAGGAUCGAACCGAUCAAGGAUAGUUUCGUGGAUUUUGCUCGAUUCUUUUCGACUGAACGACCGAAACACAUGCAGCAAAAGAGAACAAGAUUCAGCAAAGUCCGACAAUAGCAGAACACCGAGUGCGCA